UUUAAGUGCAACCAUAAGUUUCCGUGUCCAACUUUGAUCAUCCGUCUACUUUGAAUUUUUUUAUAAUUAGUAUUUUUAUUGUUAUGAGAUUAUAAAAUAUGAAUAGUACUUUAUAUGUGACUUAUGUUUUUCAUUUUUUUCAAUUUUUUUUCAAAUAAAAUGGAUGGUCAAAGUUGUGUACAGAAAAACAUGGUUGCACUUAAA
rfam:Oryza meridionalis cultivar OR44 (W2112) chromosome 2, whole genome shotgun sequence.